UACGUAGGGGGCAAGCGUUAUCCGGAUUUACUGGGUGUAAAGGGCGCGCAGGCGGUAUAUCAAGUCAGCUGUCAAAGACUGGGGCUCAACCCUGGUAUGCGGUUGAAACUGAUAUGCUGGAGUGCCGGAGGGGCAAGCGGAAUUCCUGGUGUAGCGGUGAAAUGCGUAGAUAUCAGGAGGAACACCGGCGGCGAAGGCGGCUUGCUGGACGGCAACUGACGUUGAGGCUCGAAAGCGUGGGGAGCAAACAGGAUUAGAUACCCCU
rnacentral:rRNA from 1 species